rfam:Hordeum vulgare subsp. vulgare, WGS project CAJW01000000 data, contig: morex_contig_85593
CGUCCGAAAAUACUUGUCCUAGAGAUGAAUGUAUCUAGACUUAUUUUAGUUAUAGAUACAUUCAUUAUGUUUAUUUUUAAGACAAGUAUUUCCGGACGGAGGGAGUAUGAU